UACGGAGGGUGCAAGCGUUAUCCGGAUUCACUGGGUUAAAGGGUGCGUAGGCGGAUAGGUAAGUCCGUGGUGAAAUCCUGCAGCUUAACUGCAGAACUGCCAUGGAUACUAUCUAUCUUGAAUGUCGUGGAGGUUAGCGGAAUAUGUCAUGUAGCGGUGAAAUGCUUAGAGAUGACAUAGAACACCCAUUGCGAAGGCAGCUAACUACGCGAUAAUUGACGCUGAUGCACGAAAGCGUGGGGAUCAAACAGG
rnacentral:rRNA from 1 species